rnacentral:rRNA from 1 species
AGCUCCAAUAGCGUAUAUUAAAGUUGUUGCAGUUAAAAAGCUCGUAGUUGAAUUUCUGUUUGAGUCGCACUCGAAGCCUUUUGGCGACUUGUUCGAUCAAACAUUAUGAACUUGCACGUGGCAACACGCGUAUGUUCACCUUUACUUUGAGAAAAUUAGAGUGUUUCAAGCAAGCAUCCGCUUUGAAUACUACAGCAUGGAAUAAUACAAUAGGACUUUAGGCCUAUUUGUUGGUUUCAGGCCUGAAGUAAUGAUUAAUAGGGACAGUUGGGGGCAUUCGUAUUGGAUGGUCAGCGGUGAAAUGCGUGGAUUCAUUCAAGACGAACUACUGCGAAAGCAUUUGCCAAAGAUGUUUUCA